rnacentral:lncRNA from 1 species
UCUCAGUGACAGGGAAUACAUCAGAAGUCGGUUAUUUACAGUCGUUUUUCUACUUAAAACAUCGGCCUUUGUGUAAAUUCAAGCCUUGAUUGGAUGUUGUAAAUUGAGUCUUCCAAGUGGAUGCAGCUGUAAACAACUUGGAAUCUUAGAAGGUCUGUGUGCGGGUCAUGUUGUCCUCAGCCGAGGACUGACCUCACGUUGAACCCCCUUGGAGAUACUAGUGGAGAUACUAGUGGAGACACCAGAGGGCUGAAAACAUACAGGUGAAACUUAAUCCUCCAGAUAUGGCAGCGCCUGUGAGAUACCCUUGGUGGAGAGCAUUUGUGACAAGGAAGAGUAUUCCAACAACCCAAGAAUCUGGUGAGACCCAACCUUCUGGGGAGAAGAUGUCUCCUAUCUCCUCCAAAUCUACACCGGACUCAAAGGGAAACGAAACAUUUCCAGAUGCAGAAACCUUCGACGAUGCAGAGUUUGAGCCAAUGUUCAAUGAGAAAACUUGUAGACGGAAUCUCAAAGUGUCACGUUCUGGACGUUUUAAGGAGAACAGAAGAGUACGGGGGACCAUACCUGACAAUAACAACUUCAGUGGAAGUGUUGCUGCGACUGCUGUUGCUAAGUAGGCCAGGCUAUAUCAUGAUCAUUCUACCUGCCAGACUGCAGCCUGUUAUGGAGCAUGGAGCAAUGGUGAUGCAAUUUGAAUACAUUUUGAGGCAUUUUUUAAAGAUAUAACUUUCAUAAAUGUUCAUCAAUUGUGCCUAUCACCAGGUUAAUAUAUUAGGUAUACACCUAAUUCAUAAUAUGUUUAGGCCAAUGAAGGAUGGAUACGGAAUAGUUAUGAAGUAUCAAAUAAUUGUAAAGAAUGAUUUCAUAAUCAUUUUGUAGUGAAUUCAGGAAGUAGGCCCGUCCGGGACUCAAACCAGGGUCCGGUAACUGUCAAGCCAAGACUUUAAUGGUAACGCCAAGAGGUCUGGGUUAAGGUUACUAUAUUACCACCUUCCUUCAGGAGAGUGUCCCCACACUUCUCUAUACCAAGUCUCUCUCAUGUGUACACGCCUCUCCGAUGGCCUCACGGGUACCAUCCCAAUUCACUAGGUGUGGGUUAAGGUCUCCUACAAUAUCGAUUUUCAAGUAUGUUUUCAUAUUUCAUACACACACAGCCUAAAGCACAUGGUAUCUAAUGUUACAAAUAUAUCCAGCCAGGGUCAAUUACUUAUUUUGUAAUUUGUUUGAAUAGCUUUUUGUGUGUUUGUUUUCUUGACAUGAAGGACUUGUGGUGGUUUGAUAUGAAGAACAUGAAGGACUUGAGGUGGUUUGAUAUGAAGAACAUGAAGGACUUGAGGUUGUUUGAUAUGAAGCACUUGAGGUGGUUUGAUAUGAAGGACUUGAGGUGGUUUGAUAUGAAGGACAAUAGGUGGUUUGAUAUGAAGGACAAGAGGUGGUUUGAUAUGAAGGACAUGAGGUGGUUUGAUAUGAAGGACAAGAGGUGGUUUGAUAUGAAGUACAUGAGGUGGUUUGAUAUGAAGGACAUAAGGUGGUUUGAUAUGAAGCCCAAGAGGUGGUUUGAUAUGAAGGACAUGAGGUGGUUUGAUAUGAAGGACAAGAGGUGGUUUGAUAUGAAGGACUCACAUACAACCAAACUUUAUUUAGAUCAUGCUGGAUUAAUCUGAUUCUGUUCAUACUGUACUAGGCUACCUAAGGUCUAGUAUGCACUAAUGCAGUGGUUCCCAACCAUUCUUUUGUUACUGUACCACCAACUGAAUUUUGCUCUGCCUGGAGUACCCCUGAAGUACCCCCUCGUGUAUUUUACCAGUAGGGCUAUGGGCUCAUGAGUCUUCUCAAGUACCCCUGUGGAUAGACCAGGUACCCCCAGGGGUCCUAGUACCACUGGUUGGGAACCACUGCAGUAAUGAACUCUUAAAGUGGAUGUGAAUGAAGGAUAUGCCAGCAUGUACAUUAGCUAGUGUUGAGAUUUUAAGAUACUAUUUUAAAUGUAAAAAGAAAAAAAAAAAACAUCUGCAUUUUGUACUGCAAUGUACGUACUCGCACGCACACUCACUCAGGAAUUACAUACGACGUUAAUACACCUUUGUUACAUAUUUAUUGUGGAUAAUAUAUUUACUAUUUAGUCACGAUCUCAACAUCUCUGUUUUGAAUGGACAAUGCCUACUGGCAUCAUUGUUUACAGUCUGCUAAAAGUUUACUUCAGAGAUGUAUAUGAAGAAAAAACAUCUACAAUAUUGUAAAUAAAUGUGUAAAUAUGUAAUUUGGUUUACUUUGUGUUUUAUUUUCACUUAACAAUAACAGAUAUGGUGAAGAAAGCUAAAUACAUCUAAAAUGUUAAAUACAUCUUAAAUAAAAUAAAAUGUUAUUGGUCAC